rnacentral:rRNA from 1 species
GGUUCUGCCGGCGCUGAUACAUACAAGUCUCUGCCCUAUCAACUUUCGAUGGUAGGAUAUUGGCCUACCAUGGUGGUAACGGGUAACAGGGAAUUAGGGUUCGAUUCUGGAGAGGCAGCCUGAGAAACGGCUACCACUUCCAAGGAAGGCAGCAGGCGCGCAACUUACCCAAUCCCGAUACGGGGAGGUAGUGACAAGAAAUACCAUUAGAGGCGUUACAAGCGUUCUCUAUUCGGAAUGAGUACAGUUCAAAAACCUUAACGAGGAACAAUUGGAGGGCAAGUCUGGUGCCAGCAGCUGCGGUAAUUCCAGCUCCAAUAGCGUAUAUUAAAGUUGCUGCAGUUAAAAAGCUCGUAGUUGGAUUUGGGCAAUUCGCGAUCAAGGAGUCAACUCAUGUCGGGCUGAUGAAGCCGGUGAGCCUCCUCGCGGCCUAUUGUUCAAAAGCACAGCCGCUCUUCUUAAGUGGGAACGGUGUUUGGGCUUUGAAUCGUUUACUGUGAUAAAAUUAGGGUGUUUAAAGCAGGCGUACUCAGCCUCUGAAUAGCGCAGCAUGGGAUAAUGGAAUAGGACUUGUCAAGCCUAUUUUGUUGGUUCUGUAGGCACAAGUAAUGAUUAAAAGGGAUAGUUGGGGGUAUUAGUAUUUAGUUGUCAGAGGUGAAAUUCUAAGAUUUACUAAAGACUAACUACUGCGAAAGCAUUUACCAAGGAUGUUUUCAUUAAUCAAGAACGAAAGUUGGGGGAGCGAAGACGAUUAGACACCGUCGUAGUCCUAACCUUAAACGAUGCCGACCUGGGAUCGGGAGAAGUUGAAAUGCAUGACUUUCCCGGCACCAUGUGAGAAAUCACAAGUACUUGGGCUCUGGGGGGAGUAUGGUCACAAGGCUGAAACUUAAAGGAAUUGACGGAAGGGCACCACCAGGAGUGGAACCUGCGGCUUAAUUUGACCCAACACGGGGAAACUUACGCGGUCCAGACACAGUAAGGAUUGACAGAUUGAUAGCUCUUUCAUGAUUCUGUGAGUGGUGGUGCAUGGUCGUUUCUAGUUGGUGGAGUGAUCUGUCUUGGUUAAUUCCGAUAACGAACGAGACCUUAACCUGCUAAAUAUUCACUGGUGACUAUCCCUCCGGACGGCCACCAGGACGAAUUCUUAGAGGGACUAUUCGACUCCAAGCGAAUGGAAGUUUGAGGCCAAAACAGGUCUGUGAUGCCCUUCGAUGUUCGCGGCCGCACGCGCGUUACACUGAUGCAUUCAGCGAGCGAUUCUGCUUACCCGAAAGGGUUGGCUAAUCUUUUGAAAGUGCAUCGUGCUUGGGAUUGACGACUGUAAUGUCGUCAUGAACGAGGAAUUCCUAGUAAGUGUGGUUCAUCACACCACGCUGAUUACGUCCCUGCCCUUUGUACACACCGCCCGUCGCUCCUACCGAUUGAAUGGUCAGACGAGAACUCCGGAUGGCUUGGGUAGAUCACGUAACCCGUGGUUGGCCUGAUGCCAGAAGCUGUUCAAGCCUUACUAUUUAGAGGAAGGAGAAGUCGUAACAAGGUC